UACGUAGGUGGCAAGCGUUGUCCGGAAUCAUUGGGCGUAAAGGAUGCGUAGGUGGUUCUUUAAGUGGGAUGUGAAAUCCCUGGGCUUAACCCAGGAAUUGCAUUCCAAACUGGAGGACUAGAGUGCAGGAGAGGAAAGUGGAAUUCCCAGUGUAGCGGUGAAAUGCGUAGAGAUUGGGAGGAACACCAGUGGCGAAGGCGGCUUUCUGGACUGUAACUGACACUGAGGCAUGAAAGCGUGGGGAGCAAACAGG
rnacentral:rRNA from 1 species